AGCUCUUCAUUCUGAACGUAAUUAUCUUCGCAUUCAAGAUGAUACAUUAACUGGCCAUGCAUCCUCUGUUGACAUCGCAACCAAAGAAAAUCUGGAAAAUCUUGUGAUGAUCGGUAGUGAUCUCCUGAAAAAACCAGUCUCUAGGUUAAAUAUGGAGACUGGUCUGUUUGAACCAGUAGAAGGUGAAGGAACUAAUGAGCAAGCAUUAACCAGGUUUGCUAAGUUGCUGUCGGAUGAGAGAAGACUCCGUAUGCAACGAUCACCCCACAGCCCCUCCAUCGAAUAAUA